rnacentral:rRNA from 1 species
CGGCGGAGCGGCGCUCUGGUCAGGUUCCUCUGCUUCGAGGGCGGCGCGUGGGCUGAUGUCGAGGGCGAGGCGGCUGUGCCUCUGCGCCGGGCGUUCCUGGACGGGAGGGUGGUCGCAGAGGCCGCGUAUGGCGGCAGGGAGUUCCUGUUCGACUUCCUGUGGAUGGUGCGCAUCGACGCGCACCGCCGAGGUGGUCGCCAUGGGCUGGAUUGA